rnacentral:tRNA from 1 species
GCCGGAGUGGCGGAAUUGGCAGACGCUGGGGACUUAAAAUCCCUUUUCCUUCGGGAAGUGCGGGUUCGAGUCCCGCCUCCGGCA